UGUUACGUCAACUCCGUUCACUCCAAUUUCUUACAGCAAUGGCGGAUAAUGGAGCAGCUUAAAAGUUACUGUCAGCUCCAUAGAGUUACAGCAGAACAGACCGACUAUGAUGAGUUUUUAAGUGUAACCUACCAUGAUAGCAGUGGGUGCUGUUUGGUGGAGGAGCAGUGAUGCCACAUGAUUAUGUGAUGGAUGCAGGUCAGGAGCACUAAAGGGAACCAUGAUGAGAUUGAAAAUAUAACAAGUGUUGUGUUUCCAGCCAACAUAAACACACAAAAAUGUGUUGCUGCUCCUAUAGGACCUGGUAAAGUGACAUGACCAUACAGUUUGCCUGUGAGCAUGGGCAACUCCAAGUUUUAAAAAAAUCAAAAACCUCUUUCAACACACCAGGCUCCUUUUCCAGUUGACUGGCUGUUGGCUUGCUGACUGGCUGGUGGCUCACUGGCAUGCUGACUGCCAGCUGCCUGACUGUAUUGCUUUCUGUCCCUGUUUCGCCUCAAUAGCAAUGUCGUCUCUUUCUUCACUGUCACUUUCCUUUAUCUCAUAAUGUUUCUGUCCUCAAUCAUUGGUAUAUGCAAAAGACAUGGUUCCUCUAAUUUUUUAUUUGAAAAUAAUUUAUCACCUUAAAAUAAAUAAUGUUACAAUUGUUAAGAAGUGGUUUCCCAGACACGGUAUAUCCCAGUCCCAGACUAAAAUGCAUGUUUGAGCUGGCUCAAUUUAAAAACAUCUUGUACUGAUCUUUCUUAACAUACCUCAGCGCCAUUGUUUUGUCUCAAAAUGCACACAAGUAAUGUUUAUUUUUAAGGGAUUUUUGUAAAAACUACUUAAAUGUCCUAAAAUAACUAAGGCGUAGUCCUGGAUUAAUCUAAACCCUGUCUGGGAAACUGCCCCAAAGAAUUAAUACUUAUUAUACCUGUUUCACCCGUGUGUGUGUGUGUGUGUGUGUGUGUGUGUGUGUGUGAGUGUGGUUGUUGUUUGCUCUGUUGAUUAUGUGUUUUACUGCUGGCUGUACAACAAAUUUCCCCUUGUGGGAUAAUAAAGUUUACCUUACCUUACCUGUAGCACUUUAACUGUGAUCAGUAGCUAUAUGCUCCAUGUUGGUGCAGGGGCCCUCCUCUUUUCAACCACAGGAUGAUGCAGAAAGAUGGGUAUAGCAUCUGGUUUCAGCCUAGUCUUACCAUUUGUGGUCCUUUUAAACUCAUCUGCCUCAAAAUGUACCUGCAGUGAACCGGAUUUACUUCCUACACACAACCCCCCUUUGCUAACACACAUAAUGUGCAUAUCCCUCCCUAGGUUUUAUGUACCUUUUCUUUAUUUUGAAUAAACCUAACAUUAAACUUCCUAAUGGUGUAGUCUUUGUGGAAAAGAGAAAAUACACUUGAGUAUGAUAACCUCACAAAUUUUUUUUGUUGUUGUAAUGUUUAGUUACAUUUAGGUUUCCCCUCCUGACCUGAGCCAACCAUUUUCCUCCUCUUAGUAUCAGUGGGAAAACCAUACUACUACUUUCUCUGAAUGGUUGGAGCAUGCAGCACAGCAAACCAUGGUGAAGGAUAAAAUGAAGAGAUGACACAGACAAAAUGUUUGAAAUGCAAAUGUUUAUUGUUAACAUUUAUUAAAUGUAUUUACAAGUCAAUUGUUUUAAUGAGAGCAUGGCAAAAUUAUUAAAUUAAAAUAUAAAAAUUGUAUGAUUGCAUAUACAAUGUUUUUACUUGUUUUCUUUAUAAUAUUUGGGGGCGGUUUCCAAGACAAGGCUUAUCCUAGUCCCAAACUAAAAUUCAUGUUUGAGCUGCCUUAAUUU